rnacentral:tRNA from 1 species
GCAUUGGUGGUUCAGUGGUAGAAUUCUUGCCUUCCAUGCGGGAGAGCCGGGUUCAACUCCUGGCCACUACG